AUUGAACGCUGGCGGCAUGCCUUACACAUGCAAGUCGAACGGUAGAGGGGGCAACCCCUUGAGAGUGGCGAACGGGUGAGUAAUGCAUCGGAACGUGCCCAGUUGUGGGGGAUAACACUCCGAAAGAAGUGCUAAUACCGCAUACGACCUGAGGGUGAAAGGGGGGGAUCGCAAGACCUCUCGCAAUUGGAGCGGCCGAUGUCAGAUUAGGUAGUUGGUGGGGUAAAGGCCUACCAAGCCGACGAUCUGUAGCUGGUCUGAGAGGACGACCAGCCACACUGGGACUGAGACACGGCCCAGACUCCUACGGGAGGCAGCAGUGGGGAAUUUUGGACAAUGGACGCAAGUCUGAUCCAGCCACGCCGCGUGCAGGUAGAAGGCCUUCGGGUUGUAAACUGCUUUUGUCAGGGAAGAAAUCCUCUGGGCUAAUAUGCUGGGGGGAUGACGGUACCUGAAGAAUAAGCACCGGCUAACUACGUGCCAGCCGCCGCGGUAAAAC
rnacentral:rRNA from 1 species